UAUAUACGGCGCUCUCAUUGGCAGUUGGAAAAAGCAUGCAGGUUUUGCUUAGUGUAGUGUUUGCGUUUGCGAUCUACUAGCUAAUAUACUUACACUGGUGCUUGUGACUGAGUGCACUUAAUACGAUUAUUUUGACGGAACCUUUCAUGAACAGCUGACAGGUGUCAAAUCAUCACAGACGAAGAAGAGAGGUGUUGAAAUUCAUAUUUGUACUCCGUUUGCAUACAUGCAGAAAGGAUUAUCGAUGUUGUCCUCACAUUAAGAAGAAUUAAAGAGCAUGUGGUGGUGCAUUAACCAUUAUAAUGUUUGGGUGCCAGUCAGGUUCUAUCAGUCUAUAUGGGCUCUAUCUAUCUGGCCACUUAGGAGUGGGUUAAGUGACAAACAACAAGGAUGUCUAAGAUGAUAAAACAUGUACACUUUUUAGAAUGUACUGAAAAAAUGUACUGCUCAGACUUUAAUUUGUCAGAUAAAUAUUGAUUCACCUUUAAAAAUAUAAUGAAAGAUUAUUCCAAACUA